GACGAACGCUGGCGGCGCGCCUAACACAUGCAAGUCGAACGAGCGAGAGAGAGCUUGCUUUCUCGAGCGAGUGGCGAACGGGUGAGUAACGCGUGAGGAACCUGCCUCAAAGAGGGGGACAACAGUUGGAAACGACUGCUAAUACCGCAUAAGCCCACGGUGCCGCAUGGCACAGAGGGAAAAGGAGCAAUCCGCUUUGAGAUGGCCUCGCGUCCGAUUAGCUAGUUGGUGAGGUAAUGGCCCACCAAGGCGACGAUCGGUAGCCGGACUGAGAGGUUGAACGGCCACAUUGGGACUGAGACACGGCCCAGACUCCUACGGGAGGCAGCAGUGGGGAAUAUCGCACAAUGGGGGAAACCCUGAUGCAGCGACGCCGCGUGGAGGAAGAAGGUCUUCGGAUUGUAAACUCCUGUUGUUGGGGAGGAUAAUGACGGUACCCAACAAGGAAGUGACGGCUAACUACGUG
rnacentral:rRNA from 1 species